ACACGCAUGACACACUGCAUAUCAAUAAGCGGAGGAAAAGAAACUAACAAGGAUUCCCUAGUAACGGCGAGCUGAAGCGGGAAGAGCUCAAAUUUGAAAUCUUCAAGGUUUUACCUUGACGAAUUGUAGUUUAAAGAAGUGUUUUCUGUUGGAGUUUUGGUAAAAGUUCUUUGGAAUAGGACAUCAUAGAGGGUGGGAAUCCCGUAUUUGACCAUUAUUUCCAGCUGUGUGAUACACUUUCAAAGAGUCGGAUUGUUUGGGAAUGCAGUCCAAAAUGGGUGGUAAAUUUCAUCUAAAGCUAAAUAUUGGCGAGAGACCGAUAGCGAACAAGUACCGUGAGGGAAAGAUGAAAAGAACUCUGAAAAGAGAGUUAAACAGUACGUGAAAUUGUCAAAAGGGAAGCGUUUGACACCUGUGUUGUUUUCUCGAAAAUCAAUUAAAAAUGAUGGGAUUUUGUGUUGUAUUGACUUUAUCAGCUUUCUGCACUUUUUUCUUAUCUUUUUUAAUGCACUUUUCGUUUAACAAGUCAACAUCAAUUUCUUUUGUUGUAAAAGAGUCAUUGGAAGGUGGCUUUUUCUUCGGAAAAAGUGUUUAUAGCCUUUGGCUUCUGCAAUCGGAGAGAUUGAGGUCCGCAGCGUAGAUCCUUCGGGGUUAGAUACAUUUGUGCUAAGCUAUAGUUCUUUAUAGACAACUUGUUGACUAUAAUCAAUCCUGUAACUUACUCGCUUAUGCUAUUUUACCUACGCUUAGGAUGUUGAAGACUCUACAGAGAU
rnacentral:rRNA from 1 species